UACGAGCAACAUCUAUCAAAGAUAUGAUUGUCCUUUGAUGGUGAAUAACCAUUACAUACUGACUAAGAAAUUGAUAGUUCCUCAAUAAAUGCAAAAUAUGAAGAUUUGUGUGCCAUUGCUUUUCGUGUAACAAGAUAUCAUGAUAUAAAAUACAAUACAAAUAGUGCAAAGUUAAUACAUAUGCAACAUAUAUCGAUAUUAAUUUACUAAAUAACAAAUUUAAUAAACCAUAUGGGAAACAUUUGUUUAAGAUAUAUGUGCCUCCAUAUAAAGCCAAUAAUCAGAGGGAGCUUUGGCAGCAAAGCAACACACCAUAAGAACACAAGGAACACGAACCUACACAAGUCACAUGCCUCUUCAGCUCAUGGCACCCAUAAACCAAUGCAACACAAGGAGGGUCAGGUUCAUUGCUUUGCUUGUCCUUGUGAUGGUGUUUUCCUGUACCAUGUCAUCCUGCCAUGCAUGAGGUGGAGAGCCGUAUUGCAUAAAUUCGCCACUAGGAUGCUCUGAGCCUAGUUGCAUGGGAGAAUGCAAUUUAAUAGACAAGGGUCUUCAUUCCUUCUAUUGUAACCACAUUAGACAAUGUUGUUGUUGGCCCCUAUAGUUUCAUCGGACACAACCAUUUUGGUUAUGGCUCCGUGACGUCUAAUAAAUCUUGAUUGUGCUUGUCUGAUGCAAUCUCGGUGAAUAAACUCCUUGCAUGGAAUGUGCCGUUCUAUUUGAUGUAGACGGAAUAAAAUGUUCCUUUAGAAUGUGAUUACUGGCAUCUGUUGUAGACCAUC